rnacentral:rRNA from 1 species
UACAGAGGUCUCAAGCGUUUGUUCGGAUUCAUUGGGCGUAAAGAGCGCGCAGGCGGUCGUUCAAGUCGCGUGUGAAAGCCCCCGGCUCAACUGGGAGAGGUCCUUGCAUACUGGCGAACUCGAGGGAGGCAGAGGAAAGUGGAAUUCCCGGUGUAGUGGUGAUAUGCGUAGAUAUCGGGAGGAACACCUGUGGCGAAGGCGGCUUUCUGGGCCUUACCUGACGCUGAGACGCGAAAGCGUGGGGAGCGAACCGG